rnacentral:rRNA from 1 species
GAAGGGUGCAAGCGUUACUCGGAAUUACUGGGCGUAAAGCGUGCGUAGGUGGUGGUUUAAGUCUGCUGUGAAAGCCCUGGGCUCAACCUGGGAAUUGCAGUGGAUACUGGGUCACUAGAGUGUGGUAGAGGGAUGCGGAAUUUCCGGUGUAGCAGUGAAAUGCGUAGAGAUCGGAAGGAACAUCCGUGGCGAAGGCGGCAUCCUGGGCCAACACUGACACUGAGGCACGAAAGCGUGGGGGGAGCAAACAGGAUUAGAUACCCUGGUAGUCCACGCCCUAAACGAUGCGAACUGGAUGUUGGGUGCAACUUGGCACCCAGUAUCGAAGCUAACGCGUUAAGUUCGCCGCCUGGGAGUACGGUCGCAAGACUG